AUUGAACGCUGGCGGCAUGCCUAACACAUGCAAGUCGAGCGGAUGAAGGGAGCUUGCUCCUGGAUUCAGCGGCGGACGGGUGAGUAAUGCCUAGGAAUCUGCCUUGUAGUGGGGGAUAACGUCCGGAAACGGGCGCUAAUACCGCAUACGUCCUGAUGGAGAAAGGGGGGGAUCUUCGGACCUCACGCUAUCAGAUGAGCCUAGGUCGGAUUAGCUAGUUGGUUGGGUAAAGGCCUACCAAGGCGACGAUCCGUAACUGGUCUGAGAGGAUGAUCAGUCACACUGGAACUGAGACACGGUCCAGACUCCUACGGGAGGCAGCAGUGGGGAAUAUUGGACAAUGGGCGAAAGCCUGAUCCAGCAAUGCCGCGUGUGUGAAGAAGGUCUUCGGAUUGUAAAGCACUUUAAGUUGGGAGGAAGGGAAGUAAGUUAAUACCUUGCUGUUUUGACGUUACCAACAGAAUAAGCACCGGCUAACUUCGUG
rnacentral:rRNA from 1 species